AUGAAAGGAAAAUAGUACAGUUUUGCGAAAUAAAGCCGAAUCGUCAGCGAAUCCAAUCCAACAGAAAGAUAAUAUUCGUACUUCAUCCAUUAUCUUCCCCAAUUAUUUCUCCCUCUGCGCGCGCCGCCGCUGCUUCUCUUCGUUUCGAAGCAACGAUGGAGUUAUCCGAAAGAGACCAACUAAAGGCUGCAGAGAGGCUCGAAUCGGAGAAAUUAGCCAAGAUCAAUUUCAACCCUACACGCAUCGUUGAUUUAGACGCACUUCUUUGUGAUACGUACGAUAAACAAUGUCCAAAGCCAGUUCAUUAUGACAACAGGAGAGAUUUGAUUCGCAUCUUCAAUAUGAUAGCACAGGAAAUAUAUGGCAAUAGUAAGUCAUCUCCCGUUGUGGAAGAAUAUGGAUCAUUUGUAAUGGACAUUUUCAAUGAAAAAAGUGAUCUUGACUUGUCUAUCAAUUUCAGUAAAGAUUCCAUUGAAAUUAGUCGGCAGAAGAAGAUUGACACCCUUCGGAAGUUCAGCAAGAAACUUCGCUCAAUUCAAAGAAAUGGGCAUGUUACUGCUUUAGAAGUUAUCCUGUCUGCCAAAGUACCGAUUAUAAAAGUUACUGAUAGUGGAACAGGUAUUGAAUGUGAUUUAUCAGUCGGAAAUUGGGAUGGCAUUGCAAAAUCCCAUAUUAUCCGUGCAAUUUCUGCCAUAGAUGAAAGGUUUCAAAAGCUAUCUUUACUGAUGAAAUCAUGGGCCAAGGCACAUAAUAUCAACAGUUCCAGAGACGCCACUUUGAAUUCUUUGUCGAUCAUAUCAUUUGUUGCUUUUCAUUUGCAGACUUGCGAUCCUCCCAUAUUACCUCCAUUCUCUACUUUACUUAAAGACGGAGCUGAUCUCGAGUCUGUAACGAAGAUUGUUAAAACUCAUACCAACUAUGGGAAUAAAAACAAAGAGUCAUUGGCCAAGCUUUUCGUUACUCUUUUAGUCAAGCUAGCUUCAGUUGAAAAUCUUUGGCAGGAUGGAUUUUGUACGAGUUCCUACAAAGGGUCGUGGGUUUUAAAAUCGUGGAGAUACUCAAUGAGUAUAGAGGAUUUCACAGAUCCAUCACAAAAUGUCGCUAGAGCAGUUAGAGCUGAAGGAUUUAAGGCGAUCUACAAAUGUAUCCAUAAUUCCAUCGACUAUGUUUCGCGAUUUUUAAAUGGUGAGAUCCAGGGAUUUGAAUUAAUGGACCAUUUGUUUGGAAACCCUAUGGUUUCAUCUCCAGGAGUUGAGGGUACUUCUACCAGCACCAUCAAUGAAAAAAAGAAUACCCCUCCUAUUUUGCGAAAUCCCCGCCCAACGAAAAAGAAAAAAAGAAGCUUAGCCAAAAACCUGGUUCCAGAUUUUCAACGAACUAAUCCCCGGGGCACAGAUCAGGUGCAUGUACUAUGUUCUACUCUAGGAGUUCAGGGUACUACUACUACCAACAUCAAUGGAAAUAAGAAUAACCCUUCUACUAGCGGCAUGAAUGAAAAUAGGAAUACCCCUCCUACUAGCAACAUCAAUGAGAAUAAGAAUAACCCUCCUACUAGCAGCAUCAAUGAAAAUAAGAAUAACCCUCCUACUAGCAGCAUCAAUGUAAAUAAGAAUAACCCUCCUACUAGUAUCAUUGGAAAUAAGAAUAAACCUCCUACUUUGCAAAAUCCUCGUCCAGCGAAAAAGCAAAAGCAACACUUGGGUAAAAACCAGGUUCGAGAUUUUUACCGAACUGAAUCUUGGAGCACAGGUCCGGUACAUGCACCGCCUAGUAUUAAUAUGCCAAAUGGCAUUCCUUCUUUUACUCCCCCACUCCCUUACCAGUCUCAAUAUCAAUCACCAUUUGCUACUUAUAGUUCAAAUUUUGAGCAUCACAGUUAUGUUCCACGGAAUGUUCCUCCUCCUCCUCCCUUUAGCUUAAACCCAGCUGUUACCCAAUUUUCUUAUAAUCCUUCUGUACAGUCUCAUCAUGUUUUGUCACAAACAGAUGGGGGUUAUGUUCCAACAUUUCAUCAGAAUGCAGUAGCUUCAAAUUCCUAUCAUGGUUCAUUCCCCCAGUCCUCACUACAAGGAAGAGACUAUGCCUCACUACACAGAAGGGACUAUGCCCCACCUCAAAGAUGGGACUAUGGCUCACCCCAAAGAUGGGACUAUGCCUACAGAAGGGACUAUGGCUCACCCCAAAGAUGGGACUAUGCCUACAGAAGGGACUAAGCCUCACCACAGAGAAGUGACUAUGCCUUAUGCCUUAUACAAUUACAGAAGUGGUUAAUUUGAUCUUAUGGGGGUUGAUUUUCAUACAUACUUUUUUUUUUAAGAUUAACAAUUGACAAAUGACUUACAUGUGAACAGCCAAUCCCCUUCUAUACUCUCAGUGCCUGUGACUGUCUUAAAUUAAAUCUCCCGGAUUUGUAUCUAGUGUAGAUUGAAAAUUGUUCUAUAACUGCUAUUUCGCUUUUGAAGCCAGAACACGUUCGUCUAAGUCACUCUCUUCUUUAUUUGAGAAAGCAGUUCAGUUGAUUGUAGAUGGCGAUGAAACUUUCUUCUAGCUGUCUUUUAUGAAGGAUGAACCUGUGUUUUAUUGGUAGGAUUUAAGGACUAGGAUAUGCAAUGAACAGCACAGGAAUGGACGGGCAAGUCUGCAAAUCAUUUUAGUUACAACUUGUGCAACAAUAAAUGAUGGAAGAGCAAGAACAAUUUAUGCAUUAUAUACCAUUCCAAUAUACCCUUGCAUAGAGAGAAAUAACAAUCAUCGUGGGUUUUAACGUACAAAGUUUGAGGUAUUAUACAUUUGGGGAUGGGUUUUUGUUGACAACUCUGUUACUAUUGAUACCAGUCACUUAACUAUUACAAACCAAAACAAGGAAUCAGAAGAGGUUACAGCAGCCCAGCCCAACAAGAAAAGGGAAUCUAAGAGAAUUACUUCAAGACCCAAGCAUCUUCAAGACUACACUAUCUGACAAUUGGAGCAAAGUUGCAAAUCUCACAGCAUCUAGAAGAAACGCCAGCUCAGCACCAAAUCUAGGAUUUAGGAUUGCAAUAUUUCCGUUAGGAUCUUUGUUAGUGGAACUCAUUUCCUGUAAUCAAGAAGAACCCUUGGAUUAAUUAUGAUAUUGUAAGCAUACUGCUAUAUAUACACUAGCAGAAUGAGUAAUGAAUCAA